CCAAAACGCCUCUUUGAAGGAGGUCCAACUAAGAAGGAUUUGCGUUGCGCCAACUGCAACUCAAAAGGACACUUCGCCAAGGAGUGCCUGAAGCCAAAGAGAGAGCCCGGAUCCUGCUACGCUUGUGGAGCGUUCGGACACUUCGUCGGACAAUGCCCGGAGCGCAAGAGCGCCAAUAUCAACAAUUAUAAUGCCUCAUAGACACCGGGAGUCCAAUAUCAUUUGCAAAACUAAGCAGUAUAUCCAGUGAAGUCAAUUUAGAGUCUGCUGCUGAAAACUAUUUCGGGCUAAAUAAAAGCCAACUAAUAAUACUCGGAAAAACCUUAUGUUACAUUACAAAAGAAAGAAUAAAAUGUUAUUUUGAUUUAUACGUAGUUCCAGACGGGUCUAUGAGUCAUAAUGUAA